UCCAGACUCCUACGGGAGGCAGCAGUGGGGAAUAUUGGGCAAUGGGCGCAAGCCUGACCCAGCAACGCCGCGUGAAGGAAGAAGGCUUUCGGGUUGUAAACUUCUUUUGUCAGGGAAGAAGAUGACGGUACCUGAGUAAGAAGCCCCGGCUAACUACGUGCCAGCAGCCGCGGUAAUACGUAGGGGGCAAGCGUUAUCCGGAUUUACUGGGUGUAAAGGGAGCGUAGACGGUGAGACAAGUCUGAAGUGAAAGCCCGGGGCUCAACCCCGGGACUGCUUUGGAAACUGCCUGACUGGAGUGCUGGAGAGGCAAGCGGAAUUCCUAGUGUAGCGGUGAAAUGCGUAGAUAUUAGGAGGAACACCAGUGGCGAAGGCGGCUUACUGGACUGUAAAUGACGCUGAGGCUCGAAAGCGUGGGGAGCAAACAGGAUUAGAUACCCUAGUA
rnacentral:rRNA from 1 species